AAUUCCUUGUGGUUCCCGUGGUUCCGGAUGUGUUACUUUGUCAUAUGGACUGGUGUUUAUGUCAUCUUUCAAUGGAUUGUUCAUGCCUGUGAAUCAAUUUGGUGGCCAUACCCCUUUCUUGACUUAUCAUUAAAAUAUGCUCCUGUGUGGUAUUUAUUGGUGGCUGUUUUGCAUAUUCCAUGCUACGGGAUAUUUGCAUUACUUGUUAGACUUAAACAUUAUGUGUUGUGGCGAUGGUUCCCUCAAUCAUAACAAUGUCUAAGAAAUUAUCAUCACAACUUGGUUACUUUGGAAGCCCAGGUGUGUCAGGUUCCACAAAUGGUGUUAUUUGGGAGUGAUGGGCGGAUUUUGCUGCAGAACGUCAGCUAAGUGGGUAUUGAUUCAGUCAGGUAUUAAAUCAGUAGUUAUCUUGUGAAGUAGGAAGGAAAUAUUCGUUUAUCUGCAGCUUCUCCACCCUCAUGCCUUGGAUGAUGAGCUCUUCCGAACACCAAAGUUCAACUGAUUUCGAAAUUGUAUACCUUUCUGUCAACAGGCAAAAAUUUACUAAACUCAUUGUCUAAGAAUUAUUAAAGGAUUUGUAUACAAAGGAUGAAGCUUCAUUUUUUG
rnacentral:misc_RNA from 1 species